AGCGAACGCUGGCGGCAGGCCUAACUCAUGCAAGUCGAACGGACCCUUCGGGGUUAGUGGCGGACGGGUGAGUAACACGUGGGAACGUGCCUUUAGGUUCGGAAUAGCUCCUGGAAACGGGUGGUAAUGCCGAAUGUGCCCUUCGGGGGAAAGAUUUAUCGCCUUUAGAGCGGCCCGCGUCUGAUUAGCUAGUUGGUGAGGUAAUGGCUCACCAAGGCGACGAUCAGUAGCUGGUCUGAGAGGAUGACCAGCCACAUUGGGACUGAGACACGGCCCAAACUCCUACGGGAGGCAGCAGUGGGGAAUCUUGCGCAAUGGGCGAAAGCCUGACGCAGCCAUGCCGCGUGGGUGAUGAAGGCCUUAGGGUUGUAAAGCUCUUUCGGCGGGGACGAUAAUGACGGUACCCGCAGAAGAAGCCCCGGCUAACUUCGUGCCAGCAGCCGCCGUAAAAC
rnacentral:rRNA from 1 species